UACGUAGGGCGCAAGCGUUGUCCGGAAUUAUUGGGCGUAAAGAGCUCGUAGGCGGUCUGUCGCGUCUGCUGUGAAAAACUCGGGGCUUAACCCCGGGCCUGCAGUGGGUACGGGCAGGCUAGAGUUCGGUAGGGGGAGACUGGAAUUCCUGGUGUAGCGGUGAAAUGCGCAGAGUAUCAGGAGGAACACCGGUGGCGAAGGCGGGUCUCUGGGCCGAUACUGACGCUGAGGAGCGAAAGCGUGGGGAGCGAACGG
rnacentral:rRNA from 1 species